rnacentral:rRNA from 1 species
GCGAACGCUGGCGGCAGGCUUAACACAUGCAAGUCGAGCGCAUCCUUCGGGGUGAGCGGCGGACGGGUGAGUAACGCGUGGGAACGUGCCCUCUUCUACGGAAUAGCCUCGGGAAACUGAGAGUAAUGCCGUAUACGCCCGCAAGGGGAAAGAUUUAUCGGAGGAGGAUCGGCCCGCGUUGGAUUAGGUAGUUGGUGGGGUAACGGCCUACCAAGCCGACGAUCCAUAGCUGGUUUGAGAGGAUGAUCAGCCACACUGGGACUGAGACACGGCCCAGACUCCUACGGGAGGCAGCAGUGGGGAAUCUUGGACAAUGGGGGCAACCCUGAUCCAGCCAUGCCGCGUGAUCGAUGAAGGCCUUAGGGUUGUAAAGAUCUUUCAGCUGGGAAGAUAAUGACGGUACCAGCAGAAGAAGCCCCGGCUAACUCCGUG